CGGGACGUAGCGCAGUUGGUAGCGCGCUUGGUUUGGGACCAAGAGGUCUAGGGUUCGAAUCCCUACGUCCCGACCA
rnacentral:tRNA from 1 species